rnacentral:misc_RNA from 1 species
UUAGGGAGACCUACCCACUCUAUGUUCAAAGCAAAGUGCAAAUAGACAUAAGAGCAGGUCAACUAGGUCGAGCGAGAUUGGAUUGCCGGCUUUCAAACUAUUCCAGGUUUUAUUUCCUCAAUGUGAGCAGAACCGAUCGCGAUUAUUCGGUUAACGCCAUCACCAAGGACGAUCGAUUUCGCUAAAGUAAUAGAAGUGGAUAUGCAAUGGGUUGAGACAAAGCCCUCAACCGAAUGAAGAGACGAUCGAAAGAACGAUCGGCACACACCACACAAUAUUACGGUUGCCACUGCCACAAACGAAAUUGCACAAGUUAUAGUAGUAAGAGUGAGCAAUGAGUUAGCCAGAUCUAGCGAGUGGACUGAUACUAACAAAGUAAAACUUUAAUUCAUCUUUGAAUUACAUUGGAUAACAACUUCAGCAACUGAUUUAGUGAUGCAAUUGCACACUAGAGAGACUGCUGGACUUCGUAUCCAGCCAGGAACCUUGAAAAUUGCAUAGCAACAAAUUGUCAGGUAGUUAGUGAAAGCUGAGCAAUGCCUCAGUGAUUCACUAAUCACAGACACCAAUGUAAGAAAUUGU